UUAACUUGAAGAAAGGAAUGGAGAAGCUAAAGGUGUAGAGUUGAGAUGGAGCUUGUGCAAAGAUAGGGCAAGAGCUUUAGAGAAUGCCUAUCAAGAGUGGUGAAGUGUCUUAAGAGAGCUAGAGGUGAUCUGAUGGUGGUUCUAAGCAAGGACAAAGUCUAGGAGAGACUUAGAAGAGUAUUGAGGAGCAAAUGGGCGAGUGUACAAAGAUAGGGCGAGGCUGGUACAGCCAUGUACGGCCUAGUAUGAAUCAGUACGGAUGGUGGACGUACCAAAGGUGUAUACUCGGCCAUUUGUGAGUCUUAGGCUUGGUGCAAACUUAGGGCGUCUAUGUACGGACAUGACAUGAUCUGUACAUGCUCUAAGGAUUGUUAUCAGCCUAACUUGAGUCCCAAGUAAGAAGAAUGGCGUUGGCUGAUUGUGUGAAGAAGCCAAGAGGCGCCAAUGUCUUCGUUUGAAUGUUGGGACCACUUGUGGAUAAGGCACAGCAAGGAGUGAGCUGGCGUGAGCUGUCCCUUGGCUGUAUACUGAUCAUGAAUCUGGACACAAGAAAGGCUACAUUAGGAGGCGCCUAGGAUUAUCCAAUAAGAGGCCAGCCUUCCCCUUUGAACAGAUUCAAAUCAACCAAUGAAGCAUCAUCAGCCCUCAGCCAAUCACAAGACAUCACACAGAUUGCAAUACCAAGCUUACAUCCUAGCCUUCCAUUCAUCUCAAGUUAAUAUUAUCCAUUAGAUUUAGGUUUAUGAGAAUGCAAAGUUGUAAACCUUAUAAAAGGAGAUGUGUGGGCGAUUUUGUAAACCCUUAAGGGAGUUUGGGGGAUUUCCCCUCUCCACUUCAUAAUGAAAUGUGUUCUUGAAUCAGAUUCUCUCUAAUCUCUCCCUUUCUUAUACUCUUAAUCUCUCAAAGUCUCUUGUUUCUGAUUUAAGUAAACACAUAAACACUCUUAUAAACUCUCUCUCUAAAAUCACCUAAAACAAACUCUAAUCUUCUCAGCUUGCUCCAUUGGAGCUUAUACACACACACAACCUGAGAUCUCUGAAAAUCUCAUAUGGUAUCAGAGCCAGGUUCAUCUGAAUCUGGUUGAAGCUUCCGCAAACCUCAGAGCUCACUACCAUGUCCAUUUCAACCAAGAAGAAGCUGUCUGUUCUAUCCGGCUGUUCAACACCUCAAGAGGCAGACGUGUUCAUCCUGGAGUCCAGAAGCUGUCUGCUGCUGUUUCUCAUCAUCCCAUGUCGCCCUUGAAGAAAGAAGACCCAAGGAAACAAAGACAAUGGAGCGGAUUAGCUACCCUCUCUAACAAAGCCAGUUCCGGGUUCUUGCUAUUCAAAGUCCAAGAAGAAGUUUCUCAAGAAGAAAGCUUGCUGCUUGUACUGGUGUGGCGUGUACAACAUGGAGAAAGGUGGGAGCUAAGACAUGGUGGUUCAAAAGGAAAGGUCCAUGGAAGAUGGAGGCGUUGGAGUGCACACUAACAACUCAGAAUCUGUCCAAUGGAAUCAAGGAUCUAUACAAAGGUCCUUGGCUGUAAGAAAGUUCUUUCCUUUUGUAUAAAGCUUGAGUAUAUUGACAGGUUGUGUGUUGUGAUUGAAAACUUGUGGAUGUUUAAAGAUUGCUAGAUAUGAAAUGUUUAGAAUCUGUCCCAAGAUACUAGAGAGUUGUGAAUGGUGAUUGAGAGUUGAAAAGCUUGCCUCGGUUCUAUAAUGAUUGUAUAGGAUACUAGAUGUGUCUGAUCCUGUUUACUUUCAUUGAUUGAAACCGAGUAGUAUAAUAAAGCUUAGAGUGUUGUUGCUGCCUUAGGUUGAUGCACUUGGAUUCAAGUCUAAGAUGCAGUUAAGGCAGAAGUUAAAAUGGCCUAAGUAACUUGUAUUGAAUCUGUUUAGAUCUUGCAUAUACUUAAGGAGAUUGCUUGCAAAGAUUAGAACUUGAAUGUCUCUUGUGUAAUCUGUUGCAAUGCUUGUGAUAUUGGUGAUCAACCUUGAUGAUGUUUCAAGGAUUGAUACCAAUACCUUAGUGUCUUAUCUUUGCUGGAGUUUGAGUGAUGUUUCAGGUACAUGAGGAGUGUUCUUUGUCCAUCACUAAUCCGAGUAGAAGAGGAAGACUUUGCCAUUGAUAAAGCAAUGGAGAAAGACUUGUGUGUAUGGCCGGUUAAGAUAGCGCAGCUAGUGAUAGUGAUGUGCUCCUGGUUCAUGGAGACACACAUGUAAAGGUCAUCACCUAAGUCUUGGGGAGACUGAUGACCUGAAGGCAUUGGAGCUGAAGGCAAAGGCAGAUCGGUUGGCUUAAGCGCAGCUGUAGGCAGUGAUGCGCUCCCGGUUUGAAGUCUCAUUGAGGCUCACUUCAAGCUUGCACCUAUACUGAGUCAAGCUUGAGGUGGGGAUUCAAGUGAGCUACCAGAAGAUCCACUAAGCUCAAUGACCUGGUUCCUCAAGGCCAUUGCAAGCUGAUCAUGUGUAGAUGCAGCCGAAGUAGAGUGAAGAAGAAAGCAACUCAAUGAGCUUCUAAUGAGAAGUACUUGGAGAGUAAGCUGAGGUAUCUCCUCAGUGCAAUGGUGGUUAAGUGGGGAAGUAAGCAUCAAGUCUGAAGAAGAUGGAGGUGUUCCCACAAGGUUGUUCAUGAAGCUUAGUAUGCGCUCACCUUCAAGCUUGGACCUUCCCUAUACUCGGUCUCAAGCUUGAGGGGGAGUGUUAGUGAGCUUGUGUGAUGAAAGGAGAAGCUGUUAAGCUCAGCAAGUGAGGAUUCAAGUGGCGGUUCAGAGCAGCCACUCCUCACCAUCUAAACAAGGGAGUAAACCUGAUCUUAACUCUUUAAAUAUAUACAUGAUAGGUUUAUCUCUUGAGGACUGAUACACUUGUGGAAUGUUGUAUCAGGUACUUGGAUACUCAAUGAGCAGGAGCUAGGCGUGUCUUACCUGAUGGAGAUGGCAAGAAGCCACGAGAGAAGGGAAGACUCAGGCCGGUCCAAAGAAGAGUUCCAAGAAGUGUUGGUGGUGUGCAAUGAAGUGAUGAUCAACAUUGCAUCACAAGAAGAGGCCAUGAUCCAGAGUCUUUGUGUCCCUUACAUUGCUGGUAAGGCACAAAGACUCACUGGCCAAUCCCUAGGCCUUGGAGGCUUUACUCUUUUUCCCUCAUCAAGGUUUUGUCCCAAAGGGUUUUCCUUGGUGAGGUUUUUAAUGAGGAAGUUCUUCAAGGUUCCAAGCUUGACUUAGGAUCAGCUAAAGUCAAGCUUGAGGGGGAGUGUUAACUUGAAGAAAGGAAUGGAGAAGCUAAAGGUGUAGAGUUGAGAUGGAGCUUGUGCAAAGAUAGGGCAAGAGCUUUAGAGAAUGCCUAUCAAGAGUGGUGAAGUGUCUUAAGAGAGCUAGAGGUGAUCUGAUGGUGGUUCUAAGCAAGGACAAAGUCUAGGAGAGACUUAGAAGAGUAUUGAGGAGCAAAUGGGCGAGUGUACAAAGAUAGGGCGAGGCUGGUACAGCCAUGUACGGCCUAGUAUGAAUCAGUACGGAUGGUGGACGUACCAAAGGUGUAUACUCGGCCAUUUGUGAGUCUUAGGCUUGGUGCAAACUUAGGGCGUCUAUGUACGGACAUGACAUGAUCUGUACAUGCUCUAAGGAUUGUUAUCAGCCUAACUUGAGUCCCAAGUAAGAAGAAUGGCGUUGGCUGAUUGUGUGAAGAAGCCAAGAGGCGCCAAUGUCUUUGUUUGAAUGUUGGGACCACUUGUGGAUAAGGCACAGC
rnacentral:lncRNA from 1 species